UAGGGAAUCUUCGGCAAUGGACGAAAGUCUGACCGAGCAACGCCGCGUGAGUGAAGAAGGUUUUCGGAUCGUAAAACUCUGUUGUUAGAGAAGAACAAUGACGUUAGUAACUGAACGUCCCCUGACGGUAUCUAACCAGAAAGCCACGGCUAACUACGUGCCAGCAGCCGCGGUAAUACGUAGGUGGCAAGCGUUGUCCGGAUUUAUUGGGCGUAAAGCGUUCGCAGGCGGUUUCUUAAGUCUGAUGUGAAAGCCCCCGGCUCAACCGGGGAGGGUCAUUGGAAACUGGGAGACUUGAGGGCAGAAGAGGAGAGGGAAAUUCCAUGUGUAGCGGUGAAAUGCGUAGAUAUAUGGAGGAAAACCAGUGGCGAAGGCGGCUCUCGGGUCUGUAACUGACGCUGAGGCUCGAAAGCGUGGGGAGCAAACAGG
rnacentral:rRNA from 1 species